GCAGCUGGGACAGCUCAGUCAUUAGAGCAUAAAAUUCUUAAUUUCAGGGUUGUGGCUUCGAGUCCCACCUUGCGCG